rnacentral:lncRNA from 1 species
GGCGAUGAUCUCCUAGAGGUAGCUCACCUAUUGCCUUGUGACCAUGUGGUUAAAAUUUUGUGGCAAUUGGUUUUGAUUUAAUAGCCCAUCAAUCGGAUUUUUGGUUGGAGGCGAUUUUCGGAACUCUGUGUUCUUCCUGAUUCGUGAUUUGCGGACAAUCCGCCAAUGAACCGCGGACAGUCCGGGUGUCAGGGAUAGUUCAGCGUGGUUUCAGGUGUUUCUGGGUUUUUGAACUGCGGACAGUCCGAGAUUUUUUUACAAACAGUCCGCUAUUCAUUUUUCGCCAAGACUCAGAACCAGUCCAGCAAGUUUGCGUUUCUAAUCUUUGAACUGCGGUCAGUCCGCGGUACUGUAACGGACAGUCCAAGUACUAUAGCGGACAGUCCACCACCUCUAAUUUUGUGCGCAUUUUGAUCGUUUGAGUUCCAAAUCGCAAUCCGUCUGCAUUGGGUUUCUACCUUUCUAAGGAUUCUUUUUGUACUCUCUUCAUGGGUUGGCCUAGGUAUUUUUACUUCGGAAAUUUUGUUUGUGUUUGGAGUGAUUUUAGGACAGCCACCAAAUAUUUUGGAAGAAAUUUGAGGCUUUCAUUCACUUCCCCUCUGGUCACCGUUUCCAGUCCUUCAGAUGUGAUGUGUCAUCAUAUUACUGUAUGGAUAAUAUAUAUUUUAUUAUGUUGUACCUACUGUUUAACCACCGAAUAGUUUAACCAUACAUAUGGAACGUUCAGUUAAGUGAAUCCCAUGUGGUAAUGCAUUUUCACC